UCCUUUCCAGUCUCUGAAAACCAUCAUCUCCUUCCACAACCUCAGCUUUUUCCAGCAUCCACAUCUGAGUGGGUCGUGCCGGGUAGACCUGCGUUAUCCUCCGCGCAACAUCGCUGUCUUCUGUCAAACCCAAAGAACACGGGAACAUGGAAGCCGGCCUGCUCUUCAUUCCACGAACCGCUUUGGAAGACCUUUGUUGCAGACCUUGGGUUGGAGCGUUUGUUCUUUGAAACAGCUUCUGACGGAGCCAAAGGGAAGGGGAGUUGGUGACAGAAUCCAUAACCUGAGGCAACAGCCGAGCUCCUCACCAAGACUCCAACAGGGAGGGCGCAGUCACUUCCGGUGCGCCCCAGGGCCUCUUGGGAGGCGUCCCACAGAGGGAGCGAAGGCCGGAAGUGAACCCCGCCUGACCGCAGCUGCUCGGAUGCCAGGACUAGAAGACCCAGAAGGCCGGCUUUGAAGAAAACCUGCAGCAAGGAGAAUCAUAAAUCAUGCGUGAACUGCAGAAGGCACAGAAGUGGCCGAAGGUACUUGGUUCCAUUGGAAAGAAACAGCAGCUCUACCUUGUGACUGCAAUUGUUGCAAAGUACUGGAUGACACGCUUGGUGUUCACGGUCUUCCCUGCUCCAGAUUCUCCGCUGUCAAACAGAAGUCAGAGAAGAGGUGAGAACGUUUGCCCACUCUGUUGACCCCUAGGACAAUGACUACAUACUAGAGAAGAAGAAAGUCACAUACGUGAUCAGGAUGGACUGGUUCUCUCGAUCUGUGAAAGCAAUCAAGACCAUCAGAUUUUCGAAAAGUACAUUUUAGAUGAGU